GAGUUUGAUCCCGGCUCAGGAUGAACGCUGGCGGCGUGCUUAACACAUGCAAGUCGAACGAAGCGCCUCUUCAGAUCCCCUCCGGGGGUGAAAGGGAGGCGGCUGGAUCACCUCCUU
rnacentral:rRNA from 1 species